GUUGUCACAGUAACAGAUGAUGAAGCACCUGUUCUGAACUGCCCAAAUAUAUCUUCUACUACGGAUGAGGGACUCAAUUCAUCAUCUACUGUUAUGCUGGAAUCAACUGCAACUGAUAAUGUGGAUAAUCCUUUAGAUGUGAUUUGCUCCCAUUUAUCCGAGGAUACAUUCCUGAUAGGGGACACCACUGUGAACUGCUCGUCUACAGAUGGUGCAGGAAACACUGGCACUUGUCUUCUCGUUGUCACAGUAACAGAUGAUGAAGCACCUGUUCUGAACUGCCCAAAUAUAUCUUCUACUACGGAUGAGGGACUCAAUUCAUCAUCUACUGUUAUGCUGGAAUCAACUGCAACUGAUAAUGUGGAUAAUCCUGUACAUGUGAUUUGCUCCCAUUUAUCCGAGGAUACAUUCCUGAUAGGGGACACCACUGUGAACUGCUCGUCUACAGAUGGUGCAGGAAACACUGGCACUUGUCU